UACGUAGGGUGCAAGCGUUUAAUCGGAAUUACUGGGCGUAAAGCGUGCGCAGGCGGUUAUGUAAGACAGGUGUGAAAUCCCCGGGCUUAACCUGGAACUGCAUUUGUGACUGCAUAGCUAGAGUGCGGCAGAGGGAGAUGGAAUUCCGCGUGUAGCAGUGAAAUGCGCAGAUAUCAGGAAGAACACCCGUGGCGAAGGCGGCUUUCUGGGACGGUACUGACGCUGAGACGCGAAAGCGUGGGGAGCGAACAGG
rnacentral:rRNA from 1 species